CUUCUUCCUCCACUUCGCUGCUGCUUCUUCGCCUGUUGCAAUGCGGCAGCUUCAGCCUUCUUCUGCGAGCGACUGUCGGCCGUUUUAGUCCCCGACGACGACGGGGCGAACACACCGACCUGUGCGCGAGCUGCCACCCACGCGCGUGCCGAACACCUGAGCAGGUCCCGCGCCGUGUUUGAGGAAAAGUGUCCGGGAGCGAGGAGGCGGCGGCGGCGGCGAGAGGAGAUGGAAACACAGCGGUACGUGACGGUCCAGGAACCGACCAGCCUCCUCCCGUGUUCCGUCCCUCUAUUCUACUCUAGGUAGUGGUGCUGGUGGUCUGGUGGCAUGGACAUUGCGCUCUUCCCCUGCAUCUCCACCCCGAGGGGAAUGCUGCUUCUAACUACCCACGCUUUCUGUUUUCUGUCUUUUUCCUCUCUCUUUCUGUUUUUUUUUUAUAUCUCCCAAUGUCCUAUGAGCGGUGUUGAUAAUAUUUCUCGCAGUCUAACCCUCCGCUAGCCUCUGUCUCCCUGCUUUUUCUUUGUCCUGACUCUGGCUACCAGUCUCCCUCCUCCUCCUCUGCCUGCCUCUGCUGGCGGGGCUGCGGCGCAGACACACAUAAUAAAGCCAAGGCAGGCAGUGCUUGGCUGGAAAUGUAGCCGCGUCCCAGCAGGGGGAUGUGAGAGAAGGGUCCCGGCGGGGGAGCGCUCUGAUCCCGCAGGGAGCAGCUCGGCACAGCCCGGGUUGGCUGAGGCAGAGAGGCAGGAGAGAGGCAGGCUGGGCUGGCGGAGAGAGAGAGCGGAGGCAGGGGGAAAGUGAGGUAACAGCGCCCAGCCGUGGCCGAGCGGCGCCACUGCAACGGGGACCCUGAGAAUACGGAAGGAGGAGACGCAGGGAAAAUGUGGAGUUGGACUGAAGGGAGAGGUGGAGGAGGUUUCUGUGAUUUAAAGUGAGGUAUAAGGGAAUGAGGGGUCAGUAUGCACAAACAUUAUGUCUAUAAUGUCCCCGAAAUAACAUUUCUACUCAUGUCCUACUGCUCUAUUUAUGACUUUUUCUAAUGCAAUAACAUAUGUCUUCAGGUGCAACAAUUUUUAUCAUGUAACACUGUUUCCUAUUUUUGUAUCUCUUCCAGUGGAACAGCAUUGGUUUAGCACUGUUUUCUCUCCUUAUAGCUUUUUCAGUGCAACGAUAUCUAAACUCUGUUUCUUCUCAUUGUAGUUCUUGAAGUGCUGCAACAUUUUAACCAUCUUUUCUAUAUAUAUCUCCUAUUGCAACAUUUUAAUACUGGUUUUUGUCUCUAUCUCUUCCAGUGCAACAACAUUAGUUUAGCACUGUCAGACUUAGCACCUCUACGCAUGUCCAACUGCUCUGUUUAUAUUGUUUUCUAAUGCAAUACCAUCGUCUAGCACUGCUUUCUCUGCAGAGCCCUUCAGGUGCAACAAUUUCUAUCAUGUAACACUGUUUCCUGUCUUUAUGUCUCUUCUAGUGCAGCAGCAUUAGUUUAGCACAGUUUCCUGUCCUUACAGUGUUUUCAGUGCAACAACCAUUUUUAAUACUGUUUUUUCUCUUGAUAUCUCUUCUAAUGCUGCCAUCUUUUAACACUGUUUUCUCUAUACGCAGUAUAUAUAUUGCAACAUUUUAAUACUGUUUUUUAUCUCUAUCUCUUCCAGUGCAACAACAUUAGUUUAGCACUGUUGCGUUGUCACAAUCAACACUUCUACUCAUGUCCAACUCCUCUAUUUAUAUCUGUUUCUAAUUCAAGAACAUCAUCUUCUCUUCACAACCCUUCAGGUGCAACAGUUUUCAUCAUGUAGCACUGUUUCCUGCCUUCAUACCUCUUCCAGUGCAACAGCAUUAGUUUAGCUGUGUUUCCUGUCCUUGUAGCUUUUUCAGUGCAACAUCUCCUGUUUCUUUUCCCUAUAGCUCUACCAGUGUACCAGCAUUUCUUUAUCAUUGUUUUUUCCAUCUGUCUCUUCUAGUGCAACAACAUUUUUCACACUUUUUUUCUCUAUAUGAGAUCUAUACAAUGAAGCAUUUUAACACAGUGUUUUGUCGAUCUCUAGCAAUGCAACAGUAGUUUAGCACUGGUGCACUGUCAGACCUAACACUUAUACUCAUGUUCAACUACUCUGUUUCUAACGUUUUCUAAUGCAAAAACAUCAUCUAAUGCUGUUUUCUCUUCACAACCCUUCAGGUGCAACAAUUUUCAUCAUCUAACACAUUUUUUUUCCUCUUACGGCUUCUCCAGUGCAACAACAUCAAUUUAACACUGUUUUUCUUCUCCUAAUAUCUCUUCCAAUGCAACAUUUUUAAACACUUUAAUUUUUUUUAUCCCUAUAGCUCUUCCAGUGCAACAGCAUUAGUUUCGCACUGUUAGAAUUCAUACUGCUAGUCAUAUCCAGCUACUCUGUCAAAAAAAAAGUUUUCUGAAAAUCUAUCAAAACGGAGUUACCUGUUUUUACAAAUGAACUCUUCAUAUAUAGAUAUAUAGAUAUAGAUAUAUAUAAAAUGCAACAUUUUAAUACUGUUUUUUGUCUCUAUCUCGGCCCAGUGCAACAACGUUUUUGAACAUUGUUUUUAUCCUUAUAUCUUUUCCAGUGCAACAUUAGUUUAUGCAACACUUCACACUUCUACUCAUGUCCAGCUACUCUAUAACUUUUUCUAAUGCAACAACAUAUUAUAAUGCUGUUUUCUCUUCACAGCCCUUCAGAUGCAGCAAUUUUCAUAAGUUUUCUUUAUAUCUCUUCAAGUGCAGCAACAUCAAUUUAACACUUUUUUUUAGUCUUUAUGUCUCUUCCAGUGCUGCGGCAUUAGUUUAACAUUGUUUCCUCUCAUGCAUUGCCUUAUUAUAUCUUUAUUUUAAUCCUUAGUCUACUUUUUAUAUUACUUGUCAUGCUUCCUCAGAGCAAAUACAUUUCCCCAAUAAGGGAUCAAUAAAGUUGAUCUUAUCUUACACAUAUGACUGCAACUCUUGCACAUUGUACAUUGCACUUUUCUAUCUGUUUUCCUCAUUGUUUAAGAUUUUUUUCUAUAUUAAAGAAUGUUUUUUUAUCAUUAGUUGUCGAUAUUGCAUAGCCUUGUGUUUCACUCACACAAAUGAAGAUCUUGAAUAUUGAAUCUUGAAUGUCCCAGUGAUUGAACGAUUAUCUCACCGAGUCAAAUUGAUGCUUGAGUGCUAUGAGCAACUCUUGAACAACACACAUUUCACUUUUCUAUCUUUUUACUCGGAAAAAUGGAGUAAAAUCGGUGAUAUUCAUCCACUUGUAUAUUCAUUGUACCCCACAUGGACCAAAAUUUGUUAUGGGCAGCUGAAGUUGUCACAGAGUGUGUCAACUUACUAACAACAACAAGAACUAACAAGAUUUUUUCUUUACCCUUUACGAUGUAUGUCACAGAUCUCCUCUAAGUUUGAUUAUCACCUGGUUCUCACCUUGCACUGUGAGCUCAAUCACCACAUCCUGUGAUCAUCUUCACAGGCUUUUGUAUACAUUCAAACUCUGUACGGUCUUUGUUUUCAGUAGAUUUUGUAAGUUAAAUAUUGAGGCUGCAGAAUGACUCUUAGAUAUAUGUAUUUCAUAAGAUCUAAGUGGUCCAUUGCCUUUUCUUACAUGCAUAUAUCAUCCAGUAUGAUUUUCAUUCCCCUAAAUAAUCACAAUCCUUGUAUUUUAGCUUCUAUGACUGCAGCAUGUCUAUUAAAUGCAUGUAAACAGAAUGAAAACUGCCUGCUUGGACAUAUACUCAAUUAUAAUUUCAGUUGUGGAUCAAAACACCAUGUUCUGAGCAGACAGCGGGAACAAAACAGUGUUUGUUAGUUUAACUGUGAGCAAGAACAAAAGCAUAUCUACAGUUACAGUACACCUUUCGGAAUCUUUCUUCUGUCUCUGCAAACCAGUAACUGAUAGAAACUCUGCUGGAAUUUUUCUUUUGCCUCCUUGUUUAUCCAAAGUUUGAACAGCAAGUUGGAUGAAAACAUGGUCACACAUGGACAGCGAGAUUUCUCUUAUUUGACUGAGCCAGAUGUGGAACACGACUUCACCUAAAUGAGUCCAAAUUUGUCCUUGCAGCUGCGGCUGUGGAGGCCUGAGUCACCGUGCAAGCUGGAAAUAGACUUUUAUUUCUAUUUCUAGGCAUGUGUUCAUGCACAAGCACACAUGAAGCUUCUUUUAGACAAAAAUGAACCGAAGACGGUUUAAAUUAGGUUUUUGGUGACAGAAACAAGAGAAGUUUUCACCUUUUCUGCAUCAACAUUCUUCACAUAAAGGGGUUUUAGGUACAUUUGUAAUUUGAAAGCUAUCUUUUCUCACCACCCUCCUCGUAGAGACAUGAGUUCAAAUUUUGUGUUUGUUUUAUAUUUUGUCCAGAUACUCAGGAAAAAGCCUCACAAACCACAACAGUAAUACUGCCUGAGCUUGCAGGAAGCAUGGAUGGAUUCUCCCUCCAUAAAAAUUCUCCAUAUCAUUUGUGUAUAAUUUUGGGAUACGAGACAUUCUCCUUUCAUUUUUGUGUGGGUUCAUCAUUUCACUUAAUUGUGCUGGAUUAAUCUCUUUGCUACAGUUUCUGACAGGAUUGCUUUAAGCCUGUUCGUAUAGGCUGAGCAGAACCUGCCCGUGCAUAAUGUACAUUUUCUGCACUUUAGAUGCAGAACACCAAAGCACGGAUCUUUGUGUUACAGUGAUGUAACAUCAAAGGUUUCAAAUCUGCUGAGCCACUUCCUUAAAAAUAUCUGUGUCCUUCGUUGCCCUUUUCUCUUGUGCUUUGGAUUUGCCCCUCCAAGAAGAAACCUUUUUUUCUUUUCACACUGGAAGGAAGGAAAGUGAAAAUAAAGCAUUUGACUUACUGUAUGGACACAAUUCAAUUAGCUACACAAGUGUGUACGUUUGUGUGCAGCUACAUGCAUGUGUGUUUGCGCGUUUUCUCUUUAAGGCUCCUUUAUUUCCAGUCAAGAAAAGAGGGACACGUCUAUAGACAAUACAAAGCAGACAAAGAGGGGGAAAAAAUGAAAAUCACUGGGUGCUUUGUUCUUCGCUCUCUGCUCCAGCCGAGCGCUCUCUGACCGCAGCUGAGCUUUUCCAUGUUCCUCUGUCUCUCCGACUUUCCUUCUCCUGUCUCUCUCUCUCUGGUUGUCAUGGAUAGCUGGGUAACGUGGAGCUCCCUGUGCUGACCAGCAGGGCCGCAGAUUGAGCCUCCCCGGCCCCCACUCCCACCCCGUCCUCCCGCGGAGAGACAGAGCGGCCUUUAAGAUUGACCCCCUGCUGGGGUUUGGGAAGGUUGGAGGUGGAGGGGGGGACGCUCUCUCUUGUCUCCGUGCACUCCAUCCCCUCCCUUGUCUCCCUCUGCCUCACCCUCCAACCUUCACCCUUCCCUCCAAAUGAAAUGAGUGCACGCCAGGAGACCCAUGUGUGUGCCUGUGGGUGUGUGUGUGUGUGUGUGUGUGUGUAUGCGUGUGCAUGUAAAGCUCCCCCAGUAGGCUGCCGCUGGCAUGGAGGGGCAAAAGCCCUCCACUCAGCGGUUGGUCCUCCCCCCACCCCCGUCCCCCCUCCUCGUUUCUGCCGGUAAAUACAAAGAGUGGGAAAAAAGCCCACAUUACAAGCUCCUUAAGGGUCAAGGACAGGCCCCACUCUGAAUAGCUUCUAAGAGUCGUAUUGUUGAAUCACAUAGCUAGCGAUUACACCCUCUGUCAUCUCCACACGGAUUUGGCUUUUUUAUACACACAACAAGAGAACAUCAAGUAGCAGCCACUGAAUAAGUCGGCCAACAGACAUGCAGUGGGAAUUGAUACAGACAGGACAUCAAUGGAAUAAACCGAGGGCAGAUGUAGAAUUACAGCCUCCAAAAUGGGGAUUUGGCUUAAAGAUUUCAUACCUUAGCAGCGGUCGUUUUUACAGUGAUAUGGAAUGCGAGAGCGCUGAGAUUGUGACACAGAAAAUGAGGUGCCAGAAGUGUGCGUGUUUUCAUAAAUACAUUCUGCAUGUGUUGCUCUGGUUACGCUGUCUCCCUGCAAAAUCCACCUUUGAUCUACCCAUGCAUACAGUAUAUGCCAUUGUGUACUCUUCACCCGCUAUUAUGUGAGUUGUUCUUUCAUUUCAAUAGAUCUGAGGCAUAACUGGAUGGAGCUGCAUGUUUUCUGAUAACCAAAAACAAGGUAUCACAGUCUAUGAAAACUGGGUUUAAAGGAGACAAAACUUUUUAGGUAUUUUAUUUUUUCUUGUUUUAACCCUAUCUAAAGACACAGAUAAGUGGCAAAUUAAAGGAAAAACUAAAAGAAAAUGCCUUAUUACGGUGAAGGGCCACCACCAAAACCGCUUCGGACUACUAAAGGGUACCACUUCUCCAAAAGAUAUUUUUUCAUUCAGAGAUUUGAUGAUGAAAACUUUCCAAAAUCUCCCAUUUGUGGUCACGUUGCUUGAGAUCUGGUGACUGUGAAGGCCAAACAUACAAUUGUAGUGACCCUUUGUAUCCUAUAAAUAGGGGUAUCUUCAAAGGAACCACUAACAUCAGGUUCGAAAAAUUAAUAAUGAUCUGUCAAGAAAACUUUGUAUUGAUUUGCAGUGACUCUUGCCUCUAAUGGGACAAAUAGACCCAAAUAAUUCAAGCAAAAUACCCUUAUAGCAUAACAAAGCAACUGGAUCGCCUCAAUGCAGAAGUCAAAGGAACAGGUUUUCCCUUUAAUUUGUCAACGGCCUUUACAUAAUAUUGUAAAAAAAUCCAGAGGAUGAGCAUCAUCUUGGUCUGCAUCUUCCUUACACCCCUCAAAAGCAAUCACUGGGUCUCUCUAUAAUAUAACAUUGUAAGGUCUUGACUUUUCUAAGCGGAGUGCCCUGACAUUAAAUUAAAACUAUGUAAUUAAGAGUGCUGUGGAAAACUAGAAACAUCUUCACCACUUUUUUUUUAAUUUUAUUUUUUAAUUUAAUAAAGAGUCUUCAUCAAUAGUAGUUGUAUUUCUCCAGAGUAGCACUGUCAUAUUCAGUAAAUAACCCAAGGCAUCUGGUAUGAAAGCUAGUAAAUCUCAUGGCAAGUGAGGUGACAUUAUGUGUAAUUUAGAGAUGCAACUAAUGAUUGUGUUGAUUGUCUAUUAAUUUGUCAUUUGCUUUCUCAUUUAAUAAGUUCGUUGUCUGGUCAAUGAAGUCUCAUUAAAUGGUGAAACAUGUAGAUUGUAGAUCAGCGUUUCCCAAAGCCAAAGAUGACGUCUUCAAAUGUAUUGUUUUGUCCAUAACCCAAAGAUAGUAAGGAGUGCAACUGUCAUUGCUCAUAUGUUCAGAGUGGUAAAUUAAUUUAGGAGUACAGUGUGCACAGGCCGAAAGUCAAAUUUUUGAACAUUUUCUAACAUUAUUGUGUAUUUGUGUGAUCUGUUACAGUCUAUAAAAUAUGUGAAGUGCUAUGAGAUGGCAUAUGUUUUGAAUUGGUGCUAUAUAAAUAAAAUUGAACUGAAUUGAA